ensembl:lncRNA
AACCAGGACUAAACCAGGACUAAACCGGGACUAAACCGGGACUAAACCGGGACUAAACCAGGACUAAACCAGGACUAAACCAGGACUAAACCAGGACUAAACCAGGACUAAACCAGGUCUAAACCAGGACUAAACCAGGACUAAACCGGGACUAAACCGGGACUAAACCAGGACUAAACCAGGACUAAACCGGGACUAAACCGGGACUAAACCGGGACUAAACCGGGACUAAACCGGGACUAAACCGGGACUAAACCGGGACUAAACCAGGACUAAACCAGGACUAAACCAGGUCUAAACCAGGACUAAACCAGGACUAAACCAGGUCUAAACCAGGACUUAACCAGGACUAAACCAGGAGUAAACCAGGACUAAA